UUUUGUGGGGCCAAAAGCUGCAGUUUUAUAAAGCUGUGUUGCGCACAGUGCCCAUUACUGUCUGUGUUGUAAGCCUUAAGAUCUGUUAGGUAUUAGGUGUGGGAAGAGACCAAGUUUUAGUCUGCUCCCACUGAGAUGACUAAUUGGCUGGCUAGUUGGUUGGCUGGCUGACCAGCAGGCUGAACGACCGACUGAGUGAUGGACUGACAACUGAGAGACGCAAUGAAGGAAGAUGGGAGAUACAGUACUGGGGGAUUACAUGUGAGGCUCUCUGUUGCUAUGGCGACUGUUCCUGCUACCGCUGAGGAAGAGAGGAUACCUGAGGAGAGGAAGGGGAAACGGCAGAGGAGCAAACAGAGAGAUGAAGAUGGAUGGAGACGACCAUGUUGAUAUGAGCGCAGGAGUUCACAGCGCAUUGCUGACAAAUAUGAGGAGCUUCGUGACUGUCUGUCCCCCUCAGCGCAGGCUUGUACAUCAUUCCUCCUCAUUUCAAGUCAGUUCAUUAAUGCUACACUUGAUCUCCACAGACCACAGAUGAAAUGGAGGAUUUGCCCGGCAGUGGAAAAUAAUUUUUUUUCAGCGGCUGCGAGAUGAACAUCACGGAUCAAGAGAUGAGCUGAACUAAAACGGCGGAGUGUGUCGGCCUGCGGAGCAUCAGGGAUUUUACACCAAAUAAAUGAAGGCACAAACAAAUGAA